rnacentral:rRNA from 1 species
AGGACGAACGCUGGCGGCGUGCCUCAUACAUGCAAGUGGAGCGACGAACCAGGAUUUAUCCUGGGGCAAAGCCGCGAACGGGUGAGUAACACGUGGGUUACCUGCCCCGAUGAUUGGGACAACCCGAGGAAACUCGGGCUAAUACCAAAUGUGUUCUUGGUCGUGAUGACCAAGAAGAAAGGAAGCCUCGGCCUCCGCAUCGGGAUGGGCCCGCGGCCCAUUAGCUAGUUGGUGGGGUAAUGGCCUACCAAGGCGACGAUGGGUAGCUGGUCUGAGAGGACGAUCAGCCACACUGGGACUGAGACACGGCCCAGACUCCUACGGGAGGCAGCAGUAGGGAAUCUUGCGCAAUGCGCGAAAGCGUGACGCAGCAACGCCGCGUGGGGAAGAAGGCUCUCGGGUUGUAAACCCCUUUCGGCAGGGACGAAGCGAAAGUGACGGUACCUGCAGAAGAAGCGCCGGCUAACUACGUGCCAGCAGCCGC